rnacentral:rRNA from 1 species
CAAGGAGAAUUUGCCAGAGGAGCCAAAGCAACACCAUCCUGCUCAAGCUGCUGUCUCAUCCGCUGCUUCCAGGGGGAGGUACGCAAGGAGUCGGGCUGGAUGGGCUUCCAAGGACGGGAGUACCCCAUGCAUCAGGAGCCGAGCUGCCUGUGCUUCCAAGGAGAGGAGCACUCCUGAAGGUAUCAACAUGGAGGAACAUGGAUUUAGGUUUCAGUUCACUUUCCCUGAACCCGAUUAUGGGGAGUACGGCGCCGAUUUCGGUGAGGAAGAGGAGUGUGUACCGAGGCAGAGGAAACCUCCGGAAGUAAGGAAUGCACUACGUGAGAAGAGAGUCGCGUUUAGGCAAAAGACUGGGCGGCACCAUGCAAAGGUUGCCCUGCGUAAGUACAACAGAGCAAACAACACCAAGUUUGAGCUGGUGGAGGUGCCAGUGAUCCGUGAGUUUUGGGAGUUUGGAGGGGGCUGCAUCCAUUACAACUUCACGGCUAAGCAAGCAGAGGAUCAUCAUCAUUCUGCUGAUGCCGACAGCACCAAGCUCUUCUUCUCUGAGGUCAACUCCGCUUUCCAUGGCGAGAAGGAUGUGGUCCUGUGCUGCAUCGUUGGAGAACAUGAUAAUGGGCAUUGCUACGGCUGCGAAGGCUUCAAGCCAACUGUUGUUCACCCUAGCAGCCAAGCAUAUGGCGGUGGUAGUAGUACUUGCAUUGAUUUUGCUGGUUCAGAUGGAAGCUCGGAGAGUGAUUAAUACGCAAAAUCUUCCAGUGGUUGAGCCCGAUCGGUGGUUGGAUUUGGCUUGCAUGGCUAAUCUUACAGCUUGUCUUGUUUCUUAGUUCUUCAUGCCAAGAUAAAUGUACUUUUGGUGGUUAAUGCCGUUCUUAAAUAUCUUUUAGGGGGGCAUAUUUUCAUUGAGAAGGUAAAUAAAGUUAAAUAUGCGCAUGAAACUGAAACCUGAGUUUUUGUUGUAUGUUAUGUGUAAUGGGAUAAUAUCAUAUUUUGCUCUCGCGACUUGCUUACCCUUGCAGACUUGUUUUCGAC